AGUGAACGCUGGCGGUAGGCCUAACACAUGCAAGUCGAACGGCAGCACAGUAAGAGCUUGCUCUUACGGGUGGCGAGUGGCGGACGGGUGAGGAAUACAUCGGAAUCUACUUUUUCGUGGGGGAUAACGUGGGGAAACUUACGCUAAUACCGCAUACGACCUACGGGUGAAAGCAGGGGAUCUUCGGACCUUGCGCGAUUGAAUGAGCCGAUGUCGGAUUAGCUAGUUGGCGGGGUAAAGGCCCACCAAGGCGACGAUCCGUAGCUGGUCUGAGAGGAUGAUCAGCCACACUGGAACUGAGACACGGUCCAGACUCCUACGGGAGGCAGCAGUGGGGAAUAUUGGACAAUGGGCGCAAGCCUGAUCCAGCCAUACCGCGUGGGUGAAGAAGGCCUUCGGGUUGUAAAGCCCUUUUGUUGGGAAAGAAAGGCAGCAGGUUAAUACCCCGCUGUUCUGACGGUACCCAAAGAAUAAGCACCGGCUAACUUCGUG
rnacentral:rRNA from 1 species